rnacentral:lncRNA from 1 species
GUCCCUUUUCCCUCUUACCCUUCGUCCUUUUUUUUCUACUUCCUCCCUCCUUUUCUCUUUCCACUUCCUUUCUCCCCUCCCCCUCCUACUCUCUUCUUCUUUCCUCUCCCACCUCCUCCUUUUUCCCAUUUCCCUUCCCUCUCUUCCUCCCCCUUCCUUCUUCUUGAUACACACCUCUACCCACUUAUCCACCUUCCAACCCUUAACCCUGGAGGAGGACACGUGGGAGAUUUGGCCCCAGAAACUGAGGCAAAGCGCUGGAAAAGGACUCCGUUACAGAGGACUUAUUGUCAUUGUUUAAAAAAAAAACUUUGGAAUUUAAAUGAAGUAAAUUUCUCCCUUCAAGAGGCAGGCAACCAGAAUGAUGAAGAGCUAUGAGUUUUAGCCUGAUGAGAAAUAGUUGAAGGAACUAAAGAUUUUUAACCAGGACAAAAAAAAGAUAUCAUCUCUGACCUUCAGUAUCUGGCAUAUAAUCAUGAGGAAGAGGGUUUAGACUUGUUCUGUUUGGCCUCCAGAGGAGAAACCUAGGUUACUAAAGAUUGAAGUUGAAAGUAGGAAUUAUGUACUAGUUUUAAAGAGAAGAAAGUCUAGUUAUGAAUGACAAUUUGACAGGAAGAGCAUUCCAGUGGUAGCCUCCUAAUCAGACCAAGAAGGCCU